AAAGAAAGCCUCCUCCUGAUAAUCCAUCCUUUGUCCACUUGCAUUGUCAGCUCCCUCUAAUCUCUGAACAGAGUUUUCCUCCCAGCCGACUGAGCUCUGGACACUGGCGCUGAGAAGGAGGCGUGUCCUGCAUUGUGGUGCUCUUUGGUCUGCCCACUGUAUUGGUGAGGCGGGUUCAUAUUGGCAGGAGGUGUGGCCAAUCUUCCUCCAGGGGGCUUGCUGGACUCCAACCCCACCAUUUGUCCCUGUGGAAUUGGAAAAUGUUGAAUGUUAAGUUUCAUUGUCUUGAGCCACUGAAACUUUCCUUGCAUGUUUUGUGAGAAGCAUGUAAAUAUAUAGAUAUCCUGUUUCUCAUCCUGAAUAACUCAAAGGACAGAGGAAGAGAAGUGUGGAUUCAUGUGACCUGAAUGCUGCAGGCCUUUGAAAAUAUAAGGAUGACAAUAUUUAUCUGAACUGGAAAACAUGCCCCAGGGGCCAGACACUGUUUCCAGAAGUCUCACUUGAGGAAACCAAGUAGCAGAAAUAGAAGGUUCGCAACAAAGAUCAGAUGUGAAUUCUCAGCUCCUGCUUCAGCGCCAUGCCUGCCUGCCUGCCCCCAUGCUCCCCACGACAUUCAUGGACUUACUCUCUUCAACUAUUAAGCUGUUCACUGCCACCUGAAUCACAGGUAAUGCUGAAAGCAGACUUAAUGAUUCCAAGAGAUGGAUGAUCUUCUCACAGAUGGUUUUAAACCUGUUUUAGACCGAUUUUUCAACAUCGAGAAUGAGCGAGGUAAUCAACUUUAUUACAGUAUUUUUCUUUGAAGCAAAAGCAGUAAGUUCAGCAAGCAUCUAAGUCUUUAUUGUUUUCUAAGAUUCAGCAACCCCACCCAAGUGCCCCUUUCCUCCUGUAGGCUCCCAGCUUUUGUAGUCAGGAGGUCCCAGACAUUUGAGUCCUGAGAAACAAGCCCAGAAGAACACUUUCAUUCCUCAAGGGGCAGUGUUUGCACCCUGGAGCACACUAAGCAUUGAGCUGGUUCCUACUUGCCUUCCUAGGUGCCUUAGUCUUACAGUAUGGACCUGUUCUCCUCAUUCUCUCCCCAGAGGGAAGCUCCUGGUAUCUUACUCUUCUUUCAUUAUGCUGUACCAUCCUCCUUCAGUGGAUGCUCCUGUACAUGGCAGAGGGGGAAUCAAGCCAGUCUAACUUCUUGACAGACUCUGCUCCUCAUAGGGAUACCAUUCAUCCUCUGGAGAGUGAAAAACUGAAAGAUAACACCUGAUGACAUAAGGUAGACAGGCCUGGAUGACAGUCUGAAUUCAAGCAGCUCAUCACCCAGCAUCGUGUUUCAGGCUUUAAGGAAAAUUACUAACACCGCAGACUGUGGAUGCACAGUCUCUGCACCCGAGAACAGUGCUCGGUACAAGGUAAGAACACCGAAAUGGCGUUGAGUAGAAGUAGUUAUCCUUUAAAAGGUAUAGUAUGAUCCAAAAGUGGGUAAUGUGCUGGGGGUGGGGGUGGGGUGGAGCCUACCAGGUAGCUAUUGUGUGGAGAGUGUUCACACAGGCCAUU